GGCGGCGCUGGCCGACGCGGGUGCGCUUCGUGAAGCUGUCGCUGAUCAAGAAGCUCCGCGAGCGGCUGCGAAGAGCGAGGAGCCCCCGGCCCCCGGCGGCAAGGACUGGAUUCUGCACCAGAACUCCACCUCUCACAUCGAAAGCUGCCGCCAGUUGCGCCACCAGUA
rnacentral:lncRNA from 1 species